GACGAACGCUGGCGGUGUGCUUAACACAUGCAAGUCGAACGGUAAGGCCCUUUCGGGGGUACACGAGUGGCGCACGGGUGGGUAACACGUGAGUAACCUGCCCUCAUCUCUGGGAUAACAGUCGGAAACGGUUGCUAAUACUGGAUAUGAGCUUGCAAGGCAUCUUGUGGGUUGGAAAGAUUUUUUUGGUUGGGGAUGGACUCGCGGCCUAUCAGCUUGUUGGUGAGGUAGUGGCUCACCAAGGCUUCGACGGGUAGCCGGCCUGAGAGGGCGACCGGCCACAUUGGGACUGAGAUACGGCCCAAACUCCUACGGGAGGCAGCAGUGGGGAAUAUUGCACAAUGGACGGAAGUCUGAUGCAGCAACGCCGCGUGCGGGAUGACGGCCUUCGGGUUGUAAACCGCUUUCAAUUGUGACGAAGCUUUUUGUGACGGUAGCAGUAGAAGAAGCACCGGCUAACUACGUG
rnacentral:rRNA from 1 species